rnacentral:rRNA from 1 species
UACGUAGGGUGCGAGCGUUAAUCGGAAUUACUGGGCGUAAAGCGUGCGCAGGCGGUUCGUUGUGUCGGUGGUGAAAGCCCCGGGCUUAACCUGGGAAUGGCCAUGGAAACUGGCGAACUGGAGUGUGGCAGAGGGGGGUGGAAUUCCGCGUGUAGCGGUGAAAUGCGUAGAUAUUCGGAGGAAUACCGGUGGCGAAGGCGGUUCUCUGGUCUGAUUCUGACGCUGAGGAGCGAAAGCCAGGGGAGCAAACGGG